CGUAUCACUUAAAUUUGUUUGAGUGAAUAACGAUUGACGGAACGAAGUGACGUCAAUGCGUUAAUGAAAGUCGAGGCGAAAGCACGACAAAGCGAAUUUAAGGAUACGUUCGUUGGGUAGGGGAGCGUUCUGUAAGCCUGCGAAGGUGUACUGUGAGGUAUGCUGGAGGUAUCAGAAGUGCGAAUGCUGACAUAAGUAACGAUAAUGCGGGUGAAAAACCCGCACGCCGGAAGACCAAGGGUUCCUGUCCAACGUUAAUCGGGGCAGGGUGAGUCGACCCCUAAGGCGAGGCUGAAAAGCGUAGUCGAUGGGAAACGGGUUAAUAUUCCCGUACUGGUGGUAACUGCGAUGGGGGAACGGAGAAGGCUAGGUUGUCCGGGCGACGGUCGUCCCGGUUCAAGCAGGUAGGCAGAGUGAUUAGGCAAAUCCGGUCACUUAAUGC
rnacentral:rRNA from 1 species